AAUUGCCUUUGAUACUGCUCACCUUGAGUCCAGCUGAGGUAGGCGGAAUGUAGUAUGUAGCGGUGAAAUGCUUAGAUAUACUACAGGACACCGAUUGCGAAGGCAGCUUACCAAACUGGCACUGACGCUCAGGCACGAAAGCGUGGGGAGCGAACAGGAUUAGAUACCCUGGUAGUCCACGCCGUAAACGUUGAUCACUCGUUGUUGGCAAUACACCGUCAGCGACCUAGCUAAUGCGCUAAGUGAUCCACCUGGGGAGUACGAUCGCAAGGUUGAAACUCAAAGGAAUUGACGGGGGCCCGCACAAGCGGAGGAGCAUGUGGUUUAAUUCGAUGAUACGCGAGGAACCUUACCUGGGCUUAAAUGUAGUGUGCAUUCCCGUGAAAACGGGAUUUCCUUCGGGACCCACUACAAGGUGCUGCAUGGUUGUCGUCAGCUCGUGCCGUGAGGUGUCGGGUUAAGUCCCAUAACGAGCGCAACCCCUAUCUUUAGUUGCUAACAGGUCAUGCUGAGGACUCUAAAGAAACUGCCCGCGCAAGCGGUGAGGAAGGUGGGGAUGACGUCAAAUCAGCACGGCCCUUAUGUCCAGGGCUACACACGUGCUACAAUGGCAGGUACAGUGGGCAGCUAUCACGCAAGUGAAUGCUAAUCUCUAAAACCUGUCUCAGUCCGGAUUGGAGUCUGCAACCCGACUCCAUGAAGCUGGAUUCGCUAGUAAUCGCACAUCAGCCAUGGUGCGGUGAAUACGUUCCCGGGCCUUGUACACACCGCCCGUCAAGCCAUGGAAGCUGGGAGUACCUGAAGUCUGUAACCGUAAGGAGCGG
rnacentral:rRNA from 1 species